GAUGAACGCUGGCGGCGUGCUUAACACAUGCAAGUCGAACGGAAAGGCUCCUGCUUGCAGGGGUACUCGAGUGGCGAACGGGUGAGUAACACGUGGGUGAUCUGCCCUGCACUUCGGGAUAAGCCUGGGAAACUGGGUCUAAUACCGGAUAGGACGAUGGUUUGGAUGCCAUUGUGGAAAGUUUUUCGGUGUGGGAUGAGCUCGCGGCCUAUCAGCUUGUUGGUGGGGUACUGGCCUACCAAGGCGUCGACGGGUAGCCGGCCUGAGAGGGUGUACGGCCACAUUGGGCCUGAGAUACGGCCCAGACUCCUACGGGAGGCAGCAGUGGGGAAUAUUGCACAAUGGGCGCAAGCCUGAUGCAGCGACGCCGCGUGGGGGAUGACGGCCUUCGGGUUGUAAACUCCUUUCGCUAGGGACGAAGCGCAAGUGACGGUACCUGGAGAAGAGGCACCGGCUAACUACGUG
rnacentral:rRNA from 1 species